AUGAACGCUGGCGGCGUGCCUAAUACAUGCAAGUCGAGCGAACGGACGAGAAGCUUGCUUCUCUGAUGUUAGCGGCGGACGGGUGAGUAACACGUGGAUAACCUACCUAUAAGACUGGGAUAACUUCGGGAAACCGGAGCUAAUACCGGAUGAUAUUUUGAACCGCAUGGUUCAAAAGUGAAAGACGGUCUUGCUGUCACUUAUAGAUGGAUCCGCGCUGCAUUAGCUAGUUGGUAAGGUAACGGCUUACCGAGGCAACGAUGCAUAGCCGACCUGAGAGGGUGAUCGGCCACACUGGAACUGAGACACGGUCCAGACUCCUACGGGAGGCAGCAGUAGGGAAUCUUCCGCAAUGGGCGAAAGCCUGACGGAGCAACGCCGCGUGAGUGAUGAAGGUCUUCGGAUCGUAAAACUCUGUUAUUAGGGAAGAACAUAUGUGUAAGUAACUGUGCACAUCUUGACGGUACCUAAUCAGAAAGCCACGGCUAACUACGUG
rnacentral:rRNA from 1 species